rnacentral:tRNA from 1 species
CUCAGUUGGGAGAGCGCCUGCCUUGCAAGCAGGAGGUCACGAGUUCGAAUCUCGUAUUCUCCA